GAUACUUUCUGUAUUUUCGGUGGAUCGUAAUAUGAAAGUAAGCAUCCUUGAGGUGCACUACUACAAACCAAUCUCCUUUCUUCAACAGGUGAAGGAUCCCCUCCAGAGUGACCAUCCUGAAGCGUCAAGGUUGGAUGUAAGCAUUGAGGUCUCUCAAGUCCAAAAUGGGCCUCAAACCGCCGUCCCUUUUCGGUACCGUGAAGUACCGGGAGUAGAACCCAUUCAGAAUGUCGCGUUGAGGGACCUUUUGGAUGGCUUGCUUCUGAAGAAGGCUGAGAAUUUCGUCCUCUAGGAUGGGAUCGAAUGAGGCUUAAACGACUGACGCUUGUAAGACUGAGGUUUAAAGCUGGAGGCCGAGGACGAAGCCUGAGAAGAACGCGGAGCCCCCUGAGACCUGAAGGACCGUUCCUUUGUUGAGCCAACAGGAUGACAGAUACUCACUUAAAAGUCAACCUUUAGUCUGGCCUAGAACAGUACACCCCACUGUCAGGCAAGGGACCUAAUUCUUCUGUCUCAUCAGAACAGUUCCAGUGCUUGAAGAC